AAAUUCGCAAAAUUACUUUUCUGCAGAUAUUAUUUAUACUUUAUAUUUUCUAUAUCUAGUAUGUCCUAAAAUUUAUUUCUUUCUGUCAAAUUUGAUAUAAAGAAGAUAGUCAAACAAAAUUACAAAAAGUAUGUUAGACUAGUGGCGAAGGGUUUGAAAAUGGUAAAAAAUAAGAAAAAAUUAGAACAGGCCAACAGGGUGAAAUCUUAAAAUGCGAAAACCUAAAUUAUAAUAAUUGUGUUUGCAGGCAAACGAAGAAAAACCGACUUAAAAUAUAUCGACAAGUAAUACAACGCAGUUACGCCUGCAACACUACAGAAACAUCGCAAGCGUGUUGCCGAUCCUACUCCUGAUGACUUUCCCCAGCCCAGGAGUUCGGGCCAACUUACUCCUUACUUACCACAGGGACGCAAUACUACUUGAGACCAGUAUUAUUUAGUUUUAAUCUUCUGUAAGGUUGAGAAACUUCCCUAGACGAGUUGCUCCAGAUUUUGAACAGGAUUUAUCCUGCUGUGCCCUACUUUAAGACUUUAUACUUAAUAUAAUAUACUUAAGUAAUAUUUGUGAACAAAGAAUAAUACUCUCGUUUAGUUAUGGAAAUAUCUGUUAUUUUUAUUUAUACAGGUUAACAGUGAAUGUAAUAAAAAUAUGUGUACUAAAAGCACGUUAACUUGGCGUUUGCGUAGUCAAGCCGGUCGGGCGACCGCGUAGUCACGUACAGCCGGUCGUAGGCCGUAGCAGUUUACUCUCAAUUUCAGAGUCAAUGCAACGCCUUAAGAGAUAUAG
rnacentral:misc_RNA from 1 species